rnacentral:rRNA from 1 species
UACGUAGGGUGCAAGCGUUGUCCGGAAUUAUUGGGCGUAAAGAGCUCGUAGGCGGUUUGUCGCGUCGAAUGUGAAAACCCGGGGCUCAACCCCGGGCCUGCAUUCGAUACGGGCAGACUAGAGUUCGGUAGGGGAGUCUGGAAUUCCUGGUGUAGCGGUGAAAUGCGCAGAUAUCAGGAGGAACACCGGUGGCGAAGGCGGGACUCUGGGCCGAUACUGACGCUGAGGAGCGAAAGCGUGGGGAGCGAACAGGA